GCGUGGCUUCUGGGUUAGGUGCUGACGUCCGUCGGCUUUUCGGACGUGAGAGGAGCUGCGAGUUCAGCUGGUGGGCGACCCCACUGGUUUUCGCUGAAGUGGGCGGCGUCCGGAGUUACUUCAUAACUGGAUUAAGCGGAGAUAAAACGACUGGAUGGACCGCAUGUCGAGUGGCGAGAAAACUGCUAGAAGGUCGUCAGCAUUCGGUCUGUCGGAAGCGUCGCCGUGACGUUCGGUGUGUUUCUUGAAUUGCCGGAGGAAAAGCAGAGUAGUUUGAGUAGUUGUUCAUCUGAUGCGCUGACAGACGAGCGGACGAUUGUAGUGAAUGGAAGGGCUGACAUUCUUAGUGCCACUCUUGCUUCACAACACAGCACCAGCUCAGGUCUCGUCACUCUUACCACCCCCAGGUCCCAGUGCUGAACUGGGAGGCAUGAAUACACUGCACCACAAUUCUCCUGCAGCUGACCCACAGAACAUACCCCACCACGUGGUAAACCGGUGUUCUGGGAAUUUCUCCUACCCCGUAAACCGUCCUACCCGUUGUUCCUGAGCAUGUGCGCGCAUGCGCACAAUACAAAAAGGGAAGCAAAGCGCAUCCGGCUGUGAUUUAAUGCUACUCCGUUGUCAUAUUUGCAGGAAAAUAGCUUCGGUGAAGUCUGCUGUCAAGUUACUGGACACGUGGUAUUUGCACAACACUUCUGAAUCCGCAGCUUCGGUGUUUUAAGGCUGUUUCGAUAUGGAGAAGAAGUGGGAAGAGAUUUACGCGUUCAGUUCUGCAGGCUCCUACCCUUCAGGAUAUGACAAGGCUCAAAGGCAAAACCUCAGAAGAUAUGCCUCAAAAUUCAAACAAAAGGAUGGAGAACUCUUUGUUGGAACCAGAAGAGUAGUAAAAACCAUGGAUGAUGCCAGGAAGAUAUUUCAUGAGUUUCAUUCAUCUCCAAUUGGAGGACACACUGGCAUACACAAAACGCUCAGUGCAGUGUGUUCCAGAUUUUACUGGUUUGGUAUGACAGUUGACAUUAAAACAUGGAUUCUGGAAUGUGAUCAGUGUCAAAAAGUUGGGAAACCACUGACUGCUGUGCAACCGUUGCAGUGUAUUCAGGUGUCUGAAGUGUGGGAACUUAUUGGUAUAGAUCUUACUGGACCUCUUCCUAAAACGUCAAGCGGCUUCCAGUAUAUACUUACUGCAACUGACUACUUUUCAAAAUGGGUUGAAGCUUUCCCAUUAAAAACGAAAUCUGCAUCUGAGGUAGCCCAGCACUUGUGCUCCAUUAUAUAUAGACAUGGCUGCCCCAAAAGGAUUUUGUCAGACCAAG